GACCCGGGGCCAGCACCAGCCCUGGCCUGGUUCAACCUCCUGAGAUCCCCACGGGAUCCCCUGGGGGUGUCCAGGUCCCUCUGGAUGACAUCCCGUCCCUCAGGGGUGUCACUGCACCUCAGCUUAAUGCCACCUGCAAGCCUGCUGAGGGUGCUUCAAUCCCUCUGUGUCACUGUUCAGAUAUUAAAUAAUGCUGGUCCCAAUACAUCAGCUCAGUAGUUUUGUAAAAAAUUACUUUGAGAGCUGGUUCAAAUACAGGCUUUGCCCUUCAGACACAGGCACUUUGAAAAGCUACCCUUAAACAAGUUACACAAGAAUAAUGAAAUUUUUGUUACCUACAGUUUGAAGUUUCAGAACUGCACUUUUCACACAUAUCUCAGAACUAUAUUCUGCUACACUGUCCGUGUAAAAUUAUUGUACCUGAUUUGGGUGCAAGGGGAAAAAAUGUUCUUUUACAGUAGAUGACAAGUGUUGUGCAUCAUAUUAUGCUGCUGCUUUUCUUGGUGAGCUGGACAAUAUUUUUCUGUUCUGAUGCUUCAGUUUGUCUGGCUGCAAACUCUAAAUUAAGAUGGAAAAUGCUUUCAUUAAUCAGAUAAAAAUCUACAUAUUAAAACCAAAGCAAGCUCCACUGUAAGACACAGGUGCCUACCAGUCAGGACUAUAAAGAGUUGAAUAAUUAACUUCUGAUUUCACUGAAGCUAAGGUAGAGGUUAAACAGGGGCACCACAGGUACAAAGGAGAAACGCAGCCUUACAAAGAAACUUUCUAGUCAAAGUCUGACAGGGAAAAGAGUGUCUGGGAAGGUUUGAGAUCACAGUUUUAGACGACAUGCCUCAUAUCCCACACUUGUGCAUUAGGCUUUAAUUUUCCUUUUUGGAUGAGGUCCUAAUGACUAUUAUUUUAUAUUGUGGUUCAAUAUAUUCUCUAAAAGCUGUGCCUUCAUUUCCUUAAACCAAUUUCUGAAUAGUAUGAUAUGCUAUGAUAGAGUAUGAUUAGAUACUGCAUUCCAUUGGCAAUUGCAUAUUUGUAUCAAGAUUAGAAUGUUUUAAAGUUAAAACUUUAAAUUCUUGGUGAAAUUUUAGCAACUCUACCUGAACAAAGACAGACACACCCAUGAAUUUACAAAUAUGCCACUUUAUGAAAUAAGAGCCAUAAGACACUUGAUGAGGAAAUUUGUUCCUUAAACUCUGUAUUUCACCUAAUAAACUCAGCUGCAGGUAUUCUUCCUUUAGAUCCAUCAUACUGGAGAGAUUAAAUAAGAGAUGAGUAAUUUUACAGAGCUCUGGUAUAUAAGUAUUGAAGUGUGAGGGUUUUUUUCAGAAAUAAUUUUGUUUCUUCAACUUUUCAAUUUGUGCAGCAGAAUGAGCCAGGCUGAUAAGCAGCCCAUAAAACCAGGAAGAAUUUAAUACUGCUUUCUCACUGCAACAUAAAGUCAUAUUUCCAUAUGUGCUGUCAGUACUUGAAACUCAUUACUGGGAUGAAAAUCAGACUGCCUUCUACAAAGACAGGUGUUACAAGUAGAAAAUUAAAAAAAUAGAUUAUUUUCUGCUUUAAAAAUAUGAUGGUGGUCCCAUAUCAAUCACAGACUAGUUUGGAGAUCAUGUAAAAUAGCAGAAAUUGUUUUCCUAAUAUAUAGGAUUCCAUUUUUUUUUUUCCCUAGACAUACUUUAAGGCAUUCACUAUAUAGUAUAUUUCCAGGUCAAUAUUAGUAAAUUUAAGAAAAAUACCCAUAUUGAACAAUAGAAAGAAAAAUUAAGAUCAGAAUUUAAAUUGAUGCAUAUAUGUAUUUAUCAGUUUAUUUAUUUGAUUCCUACAAAGGAAAAAAAAAAAAACAAAACACUACCAAAAAAACAGCUGUGGUUAUUCAACUUCACAAAGGUUAGGAUAUAUCUUUUCUUCCCAAGCCAGCAGAAAAUUUUCAAGAUUCACAAAAUCAAAGAAGAAAAACCUGAUGGCUACAGAAGCAGAUAAUGUGCUGAGCUCCUUUUUUAGGACUCACUUCAAGACAUGGUGCCACAGCACAAUCCACAGGCCUCUCUAUCCCAUUUGCAGAGAAGGGGCCAAAGAAAUUAGUGUUACAUCUAAGAAGCCACCUAUAUGGAUAAUUUAAAGAUUCAGAGCAAUUGAGAAGGGGUUCUGAUCAUAUGAGUAUCAAAAAAAAUCUACCAAAGCAAGGUUAAUGCAAGUACGCCCCUCCUUUUGAAUCCUAUGCUAAUUUUCUUUUCAAAAAUGGCAGGUUAAGAGGAUAAAUGCUGACAAGGGCACUCAGAAAGUUUCAUCCACAUCCAGAAAAACACUCAGCUGGAAAAAGCCUUAAGGAAGCCUGAAUGGCACCUGGAAAAAAAAUUAUCUGAGGUGAACAUAAAGUCUUCUCAAGGUGGCUUAAAAGUUGACCACAAGAGAUUACAAUUAUCCAGGUAUUAUACCUAGCACAGAGGAAAAUAGGCUUUCAGGAGUUGUCACCUUGAGGAAGUUCAGCUCCAGCUUUCUGAUUAAUAUAUCUGUAGUGCAGCCAAUGCACGGGCCUUUAAUAAAUCUGAUUAUUACUAUAUCAAAUAAAAGGCCCAUUUAUCAGCCUUUUUUGUAGCUUGGCUGAGCUCACACGCAUGCCCAUGGAAGUUAAUCACACACAGAGCUUGAAACAAAACAAAUUGGUUUGUUCUUGCUGGCGUAGUAAUUAGGGCAAGCUGGGACAAAGGAAAAACAAGGGUUCAGAGUGUAAGCACUGAUCCACAAAGGAAAAAUGAAACCAAAAUUGUCGUUGGUGAAGAACAUUAUUCAAGUUAAAAGCUUGCAAUUGAGCAGAAGUUAGUUUCUUGACAGGCAGUCAGAAAAACCUAAAAUAUAUUUAAAAGGCAUGGAUAUUUCCUGGCCAUUUACAAAAAGUAGAAGACGUUAGUUUUUCAGAUGGGGUUUGUAGGCAUUUUGUUACAGGUGUCCAGCACGCAACAAAUGUCCCAGACUGUGUUUAGCUGACAUUUGAAUGUGUUUGUACAAAGAAAUGCCAACAUAUGGCCUCCUGAUUGCUCUGCCCCUCAUGGACUGUGUGCUGUGUUUUCACACUAGCUUCAAGUCUUUUUCAUCUAUGCUCUCUAAAUUUCUGAGCAUCACAAAAACCUGAAUUGGGAAACUUCAGCUAAGGCAAAAUGAGAGAAGAUGAAACAAGACCUCCAGGACAGAGCAGCAAAAUCAAAUGGGAUGAGAUAUGGCUGCAGGCUGGGUGCCAGAAGUCACCCUUCACUGAUUUUGAGAUAAAACCACUUCGCUUUCCUCAGCUGAUUUCCACUGCUAUCCACAAUCACUUUUUAAAUUUUCUGCUGUAUCAAGGCAUUUUCUGUGCCAGGAGUUUUGGGAGAGCCCACAGGCCACUCCAUCUCCAGCAGAAUCUUGCUUUUGUGGUAGCCAGUCCUCAUUCCUCCUUACCUUAUUUUUCACUCCAGCAAAAUAUUUCAUCAAAUUGUGCUCAUUCAACUGGACAUCUCAAAUUCUUCCACCAGCAACUCAUUCACUUUGUUUUUUAUUACUGCAACAUGGAAAAAUUACCAGCAAAGAACUGAAGCUAUGCUCAGCUUUUGGGAGCUUCCACAACACAGAGAAGGUGAUGCACAGAGUCCUAAGUGAUGAAGUACAACAUUGUGCACUGAUGUGAGGCAAUUGAAGGAUCCAGAAUAAACAUCUGGAGUUGAUCCAGACCAUCCUUUGACCCAAAGCAGGUAUUGAUGCUGGUAAAAAUACACAAGGAACACAUGAGGUGAUUCAUGCAUUGCUGCAUCAGUGAUUGUCUCUGCUGUAAGAUCACAGGAAAUGGUAGAAACUCAAAUUAACCUUAAAAAAAAAAAUUGUUCCUGGCUCUCAAGUAAAAUGAAAUUUUGUGGUAUCAUCAUGGAGCACAGACUGCGAAAAUCUGUGCAAGGACAAAGAGGCAAAGAGACUUUGCAAUGUUCUCAUCACUUCAGCAAAUUAGUCCUGACUAUUGUAAAAUUGGAGGUGUCUUAAUCCCAACAGCUUCUUCCCUCACAGCCAUUUAAAUUCAGAAACAAAAUGGAAUGUUGAAUGAUGAACUCUGCUUUGACCAACUCCUCAGAUUUGUCUUUUCUACAAUGUUAAAGCACAACAAUGAAAUAAGGAAGAGAAAUAAUUUUGGACCAAUAUGCAGACUUUGGAUUGGUAAUGUCUGCUGAUUCAAAACACUUUUCUGUUUACAAUCAGUACAAAGUUGCAAUAGAGAACAGAUUAUUUGUGAUAUUAGGUAAGACCUGUUCAUGCUUCAAUAAUUUAGAGAAGAGAUUUAAAGUUCUGUAGUAGUAAAUUACUGAAACCAUUUUAUUUUAGAGCACCUUUUCCAGUACCUAGUUUUUUCCUUCACUUUGUAGCUCCAAAUGUACUUUAAAGUUACUGUACUCAAGAACCAAAAAAAAACCCCCACCCCUUAUAUGUUGUAUUUGGCCUUAGGGAAUAAUCAAAAUACAAAUAAAUAAAGCAUUUUUACACCUCCUGGUUUUCAUAAAUGUUGAAUUCAUUGAGCUGUGAAAAUCAGACCUGGUAUUCUGAAGUCCAAAAUUAAUUCAGGAGUCAUAUUUGAGGGCUUAUGAUUCAAAUAAGUUUAAAUCGUUGGGAUUUGGGGUUUUUAUAAUCAGGCCAUAUUCAUUGCUCAAGAUUCAGCUUCUGCAAAUACUGAGCAUUCGCAUUAUUUAACUUUCAGAAUUCCAAUAGAAUUGUUUCUAUUAAUAGAGCUGUGUGAGUAGAUAAACAUCUUCAGAACUAUGACAUAAAAUCCAAAGACCUGAAGACUCCACAGCCCAUUUCUGGCAGUAUUUCAUGCCACUUGAAACAGGUGGAAUUUUAUGAGGAGAAGGAGGAGCUGAGAGGGCAACCUCUGGUAGAUUAUCUCUCCUGUAAACUCAGAUGUUCUUUCUCAAAAAGGAGAAAUACCUUACAGAAAUACCUGAGUGUCUCCAAGUAUCAGGACCUCAGGAUAAGUAAUGCAGAAAAGAAAAUAUCUGCUUUGGCAAUUAUCUCAUUUUCUAAUUGCAAGUUCUAUAUCUACUUUGAUUUUGCCAGGGUGGUUUUGUCUGGGGUUUUGGUUGUUUUGUUUUAUGAUUUUUUUUUGCUUGUUUGCGUGUUUAUUUUUGUGGUUUUUUAGUUCUGGGGGGUUUGGGGUUUUUGAGGGUUCAGUUUUGUUUUGUUUUUUCUUUGGUGCUUUUAUUUGAUUUUGGUUUUGGGGGGUUUUUGGUGGUUGGUUUGUUUUGGGU